AGUCUUUUCAGAGGAACCUGUCCUAUAAUUGAUAGUCCACGAUUAAAUUUACUUAUUUUAUUAAUUUAUAUAUCGUCGUAGUUUGAAUAUUUUUUAAAAAUUUAUUAAUAUUCAAAAUUUUGAAUGAACGGAAUUCAGAUCAAGGUGUAGUUUAUAAAUAAGAAGAGAUGGGUUACAAUAAAUAUAUUUAUACGGUUAAAUUUUUAUAAAAUUUUUAUAAGUUGGAUUUGAAAGUAAUAUAAAAUAUAUUUUUUAUAUGAUUAUAGCUCUAAAAUACGUACAUAUCGCCCGUCACUUUCAUUUUAAGAUGGAAUAAGUCGUAACAGAGUAGGUGUACCUGAAGGUGUCCCUAGAAAU
rnacentral:rRNA from 1 species